rnacentral:rRNA from 1 species
GAUGAACGCUGGCGGCGUGCCUAAUACAUGCAAGUCGAGCGAACAGAUAAGGAGCUUGCUCCUUUGACGUUAGCGGCGGACGGGUGAGUAACACGUGGGUAACCUACCUAUAAGACUGGGAUAACUUCGGGAAACCGGAGCUAAUACCGGAUAACAUUUGGAACCGCAGGGUUCUAAAGUGAAAGAUGGUUUUGCUAUCACUUAUAGAUGGACCCGCGCCGUAUUAGCUAGUUGGUAAGGUAACGGCUUACCAAGGCAACGAUCCGUAGCCGACCUGAGAGGGUGAUCGGCCACACUGGAACUGAGACACGGUCCAGACUCCUACGGGAGGCAGCAGUAGGGAAUCUUCCGCAAUGGGCGAAAGCCUGACGGAGCCACGCCGCGUGAGUGAUGAAGGGUUUCGGCUCGUAAAACUCUGUUAUUAGGGAAGAACAAAUGUGUAAGUAACUGUGCACGUCUUGACGGUACCUAAUCAGAAAGCCACGGCUAACUACGUG